rnacentral:tRNA from 1 species
CGGGGCGUGGCUCAGUUUGGCUAGAGCGCUUGAAGGGGGGUCAAGAGGUCACAGGUUCAAGUCCUGUCGCCCCGACCA